CCUGUAGCUCAGCAGGAUAGAGCAACUGCCUUCUAAGCAGUAGGUUGGGGGUUCGAGUCCCUCCAGGC
rnacentral:tRNA from 1 species